GACGAACCGUGCGAACGUUAUUCGGAAUCACUGGGCUUAAAGGGUGCGUAGGCGGGUUUAUCAGUCCGGGGUGAAAUCCCACGGCCCAACCGUGGAAGUGCCUUGGAUACUGUAGACCUCGAGGGGGAUAGGGGCAUGCGGAACUCAGGGUGGAGCGGUGAAAUGCGUAGAUAUCCUGAGGAACACCGGUGGCGAAAGCGGCGUGCUAGGUCCCUUCUGACGCUGAGGCACGAAAGCCAGGGGAGCAAACGGG
rnacentral:rRNA from 1 species